CCUACGGGAGGCAGCAGUGAGGAAUAUUGGUCAAUGGACGAGAGUCUGAACCAGCCAAGUAGCGUGAAGGAUGACUGCCCUAUGGGUUGUAAACUUCUUUUAUAUGGGAAUAAAAUGUUCCACGUGUGGGAUUUUGUAUGUACCAUAUGAAUAAGGAUCGGCUAACUCCGUGCCAGCAGCCGCGGUAAUACGGAGGAUCCGGGCGUUAUCCGGAUUUCUUGGGUUUAAAGGGAGCGUAGGUGGAUUGUUAAGUCAGUUGUGAAAGUUUGCGGCUCAACCGUAAAAUUGCAGUUGAAACUGGCAGUCUUGAGUACAGUAGAGGUGGGCGGAAUGCGUGGUGUAGCGGUGAAAUGCUUAGAUAUCACGAAGAACUCCGAUUGCGAAGGCAGCUCACUGGACUGCAACUGACACUGAGGCUCGAAAGUGUGGGUAUCAAACAGGAUUAGAUACCCCUGUAGUC
rnacentral:rRNA from 1 species